rnacentral:tRNA from 1 species
GCGGGCGUAGUUCAAUGGUAGAAUUCCAGCCUUCCAAGCUGGUCGUGCGGGUUCGAUUCCCGUCGCCCGCUCCA